GGCGAACCCAUCUCGGCAAGAACCCAAUCGGAGGAGACGGCCGACGGGGAGGCUCUGGGGAGGCCGGCGCCGCCACCACCACGGGCGAAGUCAGAGGAGCGCGGCGUCACCCCCUUCCCCAGCGCCCGACCCCCUCUUUUCUCUCUCGUCGUUCUAUUUAUCCCGGCUGGCUCCAUAGGUCCGGCCACCCCCCACACCUCAGAUCCCGGCUACCCCACGGGUCUAGGGCGGAUCCCG
rnacentral:lncRNA from 1 species